GGAAAGAUGCAAGAGCGGUUGAAUUGGCACGCCUGGAGAGCGUGUGUCCCUCUAAAGGGGACCGUGGGUUCGAAUCCCACUCUUUCCG
rnacentral:tRNA from 1 species